GACGGAGGGUGCAAGCGUUGUUCGGAAUUACUGGGCGUAAAGGGCGCGUAGGCGGUCUGCUAAGUUCGGUGUGAAAUCCCCCGGCUCAACUGGGGAACUGCACCGGAAACUGACAGACUAGAGUACCGGAGAGGAGGGUGGAAUUCCUGGUGUAGCGGUGAAAUGCGUAGAUAUCAGGAGGAACACCGGUGGCGAAGGCGGCCCUCUGGACGGAUACUGACGCUGAGGCGCGAAAGCGUGGGGAUCAAACAGG
rnacentral:rRNA from 1 species